rnacentral:sRNA from 1 species
GUGCUGCAGCAAGAAGAAUGGGCUUGACAGGCUCACACUGUGAUCCUGAGUUGCCUGCCCCCGAAAUAAGGUCCCAGCCUCCUCCGCCCUUUGCAAGGCUCUUACACAUUAGUGAGCAGGAAGUGGAGUCCCGAUGGGAGGCUGGGAAUUUGAACGCCUUCCCAUUUCAGCACUGGAGGGGAGGAAGCUCAGUUCAGCACUCCACGCAGAUGGCUACCGCUCCCUCCUGAGCGCUCGCUCCUCUCGCUCCUCUCCCCUCACCCGCCGCCUUCCCUGCUGGGUCCCUCUCCCACCUCUCCUCCCUCUCCUGGAAGGGAAAAGUCUGCCAAGCUGGGGACUGCCACGACCAAACCAACAAAGGCCGACCGAAGGCAGAGAACUUGAAAAGAACUUGUUUUGUUCCAGUUAAGGAACCUGCAGGAAAAUCCACACCCACGUUGCCUGGUUUUGAACUGGAGAGCUGCGUGUGUGUGUAUGUGUGUGUGUGUGUCAAGCAAGAGGCGGAGGAGGCACAGACUACGGUCUCUGUUUUGAUAAGGAAACUGCCAGCUGUCGAAAGUUAACCAGCAGAGAGGGGAAGAUGGCCCAGGAGCCAGCCCCUCCUGAGUUUUAAACUACACUGUUUUCUGUCCAGAUAUUCCAAUGGAGACAGUUGGAAAACCUGUACUUCAGAGAAAAGAAGUUUUCCGUGGAAGUUCAUGACCCACGCAGGGCUUCAGUGACAAGGAGGACGUUUGGGCACAGCGGCAUUGCAGUGCACACGUGGUAUGCAUGUCCGGCAUUGAUCAAGUCCAUCUGGGCUAUGGCCAUAAGCCAACACCAGUUCUAUCUGGACAGAAAGCAAAGUAAGUCCAAAAUCCAUGCAGCACGCAGCCUGAGUGAGAUCGCCAUCGACCUGACCGAGACGGGGACGCUGAAGACCUCGAAGCUGGCCAACAUGGGCAGCAAGGGGAAGAUCAUCAGCGGCAGCAGCGGCAGCCUGCUGUCUUCAGGUAGGCAGAGGCCAGCUGGAGGGAUGCCCCCCGAGCAUGGCUGGGACCCCAGAGGGGACCAGGAAGGUGGGGAGAGCUGCAGCUGGGGAGACUGCAGGGCAAGCUGCCCCAAAGCUGGCUUUGCUUUCCAGACCAAGGUUGGGAUCCAAAUGCGAAUCUGAGAAAACUGCUCCCAGGAAUCAAAUAGUGGAAGGGAAAAAAAAAAAAAAAGCAUCAGUAGAACCACGCAGUGCAAGAAGGCCUGGUGGUCACACUUAAGUGUCUUCAGGUACCCCCCAGAGCGUUUCACAAUGCCAGUGGCAAGCUGUCGGGAAUGUCAGGUCCAAGGGUGAAAAGUGGAAUCCGCUCAUGUGCCCACUUGUGUGUUGUGAAUUUCAGGAUCUGGUGCCAGGAGACACUGCAUUCUACUCCCAGGUGGGUUUCUCCAGCUUUUAAAAAUGCGGAAUACUCUCUCCAUCGUGUCACAGGGCGUGAUCUCUCCAUUCAGUGCCUUUUGAAAUUGCGAGUCAGAGAUCUGGUGCCGUCGUCCGCUUCCGCCAGCCUUGGCCAAGUCAUUUUGUCUUUUGAUGUUGGGAGGGACAGAGGAGUUCCAAGGUCCUGGAUCUGACUGACUUAAAGAGGGGGGUGUCAUUUACUGAAAUGGCAGGAGGAGGAGUGGGUUUGAAAGAAGCAGAGAGGAAGGGAGGCAGCCGUGGUUUGGAAAUGUUAGAAAAGGGCAUUGUGGCCGGGCACGGUGGCUCACACCUCUAAUCCCAGCACUGUGGGAGGCCGAGGCUGGAGAAUCACUUGAGGCCAGGGAGUUUAAGACCAGCCUGGGCAAUAUAAUGAGACCCCGUCUCUACCAAAAAAAAAAAAAAAAUUAGCCAGGUGUGGUGGCACAGCACCUGUAGUCCCAGCUACUUGGGAGGCUGAGUAGGGAGGAUCACUGAACCCUGGAGGUUGAGGCUGCAGUGAGCAGUGACUGCACUGCCCUCCAACCUGGGUGACAGAGCAAGACCCUGUCUCAAAAAACAAAAAAAGAAAAGUGGAACAUGAGAAAAAAACCUGAUUGAUGUAGGAACCGUGCAGCUGUCUCUGAGCCAUGCAAAGAAGGCAAGAAAUCUUCCCUGGUAAUUUAUAUUACUAUAUAUAGUGGCUGUAAACAAUAACGAAAAGGAAAAGACAGGAGAGGAAGAGGAGCUAAAAAUUGUCUCGUUAGCUUCUGGGCUGGUGUGAUCCAAUCAUAGCCAGGAAAAAUUUAAAGGACCAGAGAGGGGACAGACAUCCUUCCUGGACUGAGAGGCGAGGUUACUGUUCUGGUGAGUGGAGCGUUAAGUUGAAGGCCCAUCCUUGGACAGGCUGAGGCCCUCCGGGGACCUUAGCAGUGUGUUCACAUGGUCAUGUGUUUUUAUAAAAUCUGUGAACAUAAUACGUUUUGUAUUUUUCUUCAGUAGAACCGCUAAAGGCCAGUGUGGUGGCUCAGGCCUGUAAUCUCAGCACUUUGGGAGGCCGAGGCAGGUGGAUCACCUGAGGUCAGGAGUUGGAGACCAGUCUGGCCAACACAGUGAAACCGCAUCUCUACUAAAAAUACAAAAAUUAGCCGAGUGUGGUGGUGCACACCUAUAAUCCCACUACUUGGCAGGCUGAGGCAGGAGAAUCACUUGAACUCAGGAGGCAGAGGUUGCAGUGAGCAGAGAUCGUGCCAGUGCACUCCAGCCUGGGCAACAGAGCAAGACUCUGUC